GACAGAGGAUGCAAGCGUUAUCCGGAAUUAUUGGGCGUAAAGAGCUCGUAGGCGGUCUGUCACGUCGGCUGUGAAAUCCCGGAGGCUCAACCUCGGGUCUGCAGUCGAUACGGGCAAACUAGAGUAUUGCAGGGGAGACUGGAAUUCCUGGUGUAGCGGUGAAAUGCGCAGAUAUCAGGAGGAACACCGGUGGCGAAGGCGGGUCUCUGGGCAAUAACUGACGCUGAGGAGCGAAAGCGUGGGGAGCGAACAGG
rnacentral:rRNA from 1 species